rnacentral:lncRNA from 1 species
CGCCAUAAAAUUAGUUACAACCCUGAGCAGUGGAUAGGGUGCUGGUGCUUGCAGGAGGGCGAGUCCUUUAAAUAGGGAACUCCCUCAAAGCAUGUGCACUUUUAUUUGAUUUAUAAGAAAUAUCAUUUGGUCCAAAGUUUUGAAGAAUGAAACAGAUGUUUGCUCUUGUUGCCCAUGCUGGAGUGCAGUGGUUAAGAUCUCGGCUUACCACAACCUCCACCUCCCGGGUUCAAGCGGUUCUCCUUCCUCAGCCUCCCGAGUAGCUAGGAUUACAGGCAUGUGCCACCACGCCCGGCUAAUUUUGUAUUUUUAGUAGAGACAGGGUUUCUCCAUGUUAGUCAGGCUAGUCUAGAACUCCCGAGCUUAGGUGAUCUACCCAUCUGGGCCUCCCAAAUUGCUGCGAUUACAGGCGUGAGCCACCCCACCUGGCCCGGAGAAUGCUACUUUUAAAAAUAGGAACAAGCCAGGAGCUCAUCCAAUCUUGUUCCUUUUCUAACUUUCUUUCUCUGGAAAUAGUUCCUUUUCUAACUUUCUUUCUCUGGGCCUCUUUCACCCAGAGGCCCACAAGAGGGUGCUGUCUGCCUUUUAGAUGGAACUUCCUGACUCUGCCCUGAGGGUAU